rnacentral:rRNA from 1 species
UACGAAGGGGGCUAGCGUUGCUCGGAAUUACUGGGCGUAAAGCGCACGUAGGCGGCUUUCUAAGUCGGGGGUGAAAUCCUGGAGCUCAACUCCAGAACUGCCUUCGAUACUGGAGAGCUUGAGUCCGGGAGAGGUGAGUGGAACUGCGAGUGUAGAGGUGAAAUGCGUAGAUAUCGGAAGGAACACCGGUGGCGAAAGCGGCGCGCUGGAUCCCUACUGACGCUGAGGCGCGAAAGCCAGGGGAGCAAACGGG